rnacentral:rRNA from 1 species
CACGUAGGGUGCGACUGUUGUCCGGAUUUAUUGGGCGUAAAGAGCGUGUAGGCGGCUUGGCAAGUCCGCUGUGAAAACUCGAGGCUCAACCUCGAGACGUCGGUGGAAACUGCCUCGCUAGAGUCCGGAAGAGGAGAGUGGAAUUCCUGGUGUAGCGGUGAAAUGCGCAGAUAUCAGGAAGAACACCCGUGGCUAAGGCGGCUCUCUAGUACGGUACUGACGCUGAGACGCGAAAGCGUGGGGAGCGAACAGG